rnacentral:rRNA from 1 species
AGAAUCAACGCUGGCGGCGUGCCUAACACAUGCAAGUCGCACGAGAAAGGGUAGCAAUACCUGAGUACAGUGGCGCACGGGUGAGUAACACGUGAAUUAUCUACCUCCGAGUGGGGAAUAAACUGAGAGAAAUCUUAGCUAAUAACGCAUAACACUUACGAGUCAAAGCAGCAAUGCGCUUGGAGAGGAGUUCGCGGCCGAUUAGUUAGUUGGCGGGGUAAUGGCCCACCAAGACGAUGAUCGGUA